UACGUAGGGUGCGAGCGUUGUCCGGAAUUAUUGGGCGUAAAGGGUGCGUAGGCGGUCUGACAAGUCUGAUGUGAAAUCUAUGGGCUCAACCCAUAGUCUGCAUCGGAAACUGUCGGGCUUGAGUAUGGGAGAGGUGAGUGGAAUUUCCGGUGUAGCGGUGAAAUGCGUAGAUAUCGGGAGGAACACCAGUGGCGCAAGCGGCUGACUGGCCGAGACCUGACGCUGAGACGCGACGGCGUGGGGAGCAAACCGG
rnacentral:rRNA from 1 species